AACGAACGCUGGCGGCAGGCCUUUCAGAUGCAAGUCGAGCGCGCCUUCGGGUGAGCGGCGGACGGGUUAGUAACGCGUGGGAACGUGCCCUUCUCUACGGAAUAGCCUCUGGAAACGGAGAGUAAUACCGUAUACGCCCUUUGGGGGAAAGAUUUAUCGGAGAAGGAUCGGCCCGCGUUAGAUUAGGUAGUUGGUGGGGUAACGGCCUACCAAGCCUACGAUCUAUAGCUGGUUUUAGAGGAUGAUCAGCAACACUGGGACUGAGACACGGCCCAGACUCCUACGGGAGGCAGCAGUGGGGAAUCUUAGACAAUGGGGGCAACCCUGAUCUAGCCAUGCCGCGUGAGUGAUGAAGGCCUUAGGGUCGUAAAGCUCUUUCGCCUGUGAUGAUAAUGACAGUAGCAGGUAAAGAAACCCCGGCUAACUCCGUG
rnacentral:rRNA from 1 species